GGUGACGUCACUACGUUAUUGUAAGACCGGUGUGACACAAUGACGAUAUUUUGGAUCUCCAAAAAGGAGGUUUUUGCGAAGGUCAAUAUUUCACGCUGCAGAAACAGAACAGAACUUUAAAGUUUGGCCAUGCCCAGGAGGGAGUGACUGAGUUAUGGGGUGCAGAAGAAGCACAAGCCAUCUAGACAUGAUGAAUCAUCCCCAACAGCGCUUGAGGAUGGUUUCCUGCUCAAUGAGGAUGAAUCCAUAACUGAGAACUGAGGAUGAUACUUCUCUCAACACUGCAUUGUAUGAAGACAAAGCAACUCAGUGUGGUUAGUCAUCGUCAACAACAGAACCAGACUAAGCUGAAGUUGGAGACUGUCAAGUUGAGAUCACUGUGCCUAUCAGGGUUGAGUGUUACAUACUGAACGAAGUGAUCCAAAGCAAUUUAUUGUCAAUACGCACGCUAGAGACCUGGACAUUCGCUUUUUACAUUCAGAUCAAAGCAUGGCAAAGCAUAUUUAAGGAUGAAAGUAUGUGUUAAUGAAGCAGGACACACUACUGAACAUGUUCAUGGUUAGGAAGUUGCCCAGAACCAUUUUUUGUGGGAACAAAUUUCUAGUGAUUAUCUUUUUGCCCUUUAGCUCACCUGAGCACAAUGUGCUAAUGGUGAGCUUUUUUGAUCGCCUUUUGGCAGUCGUGGAGUGCGUGUUGUGUGGCGUCAACAUUUGCCUUGUAAACAAUCUUGAGGCCACAUUAAUUGUCCAAACUUCAUGAAAUUUGGUCAGAACAUUUUUCCAAAUGAAAUCUUGGACAAGUUAAAAAAUUGUUCCGGUUUAUUGUCCGUCAUCAUGAAACUUGGUCAGAAGAUUUGUCAAAAUGAUAUCUUGGGCAAGUUCAAAAAUGGUUCCGGUUGGUUCAAAAACAUGGGCACCAGGGGGUGGGGCAUUUUUCCUUAUAUGUCUAUAUAUAGCUAUUGAAAAAUCUGGACAGUCGCUCCUACAUUAUUUUGACUCCACGGCAAAAUGUAGUGUACGCCGAUCAAAGGCUAACACCUAUGAUUAAAAAAAUGGAGUCAAAAAUAAUGUAGGAGCGAUUGUCCGGGUUGACAAAAUAAUGUAGGAGUGAUUGUCCGGGUUGGCAAAAUAAUGUAGGAGCGACUGUCCGCCCUGUCAAAACAUCAUAGGAGCGACUUUCCGCCCUGUCAAAACAUCGUAGGAGCGACUGUCCGCCCUGUCAAAACAUCGUAGGAGCGACUGUCCGCCUUGUCAAAUUUAGCGCAGGAGAGAUUGUCCGUAGGAGCGAUUGUCCGGGAUUCGAAAAACCUUUUUAACACUCUAUAGAGUGUCCCAAUUAUAUCAUAAAAAACAUGGCCACCAAGGGGCGGGGCUUUUUUCCUUACAUGACUAUGGUAAAAACAUGUUAACACUCUCAGUCGCAUUUAUAGUCCAAUCUCCAUGAUGAAAAAUUCUUAUGUGAUUAUGAAUUUUCUGCCCCAUACGAUAAUGGCUCUUAUGCUUACAUGUUUGUUGCCUGCAUCUCUGCAGAAUAUUAGCUGUUUUCUCCCGAUAUGUUAUUAAUUUUGUAAUAUCAACAACUUGCUUAAUACGUGUAAUAAAUUGCUUAUUUUUUU